rnacentral:rRNA from 1 species
AAUGAACGUUGGCGGCGUGGAUUAGGCAUGCAAGUCGAGCGAGAACCCGCAAGGGGACAGCGGCGAACGGGGUAGGAAUACGUAGGUAACGUACCCUCGGGGCGAGGACAGCCACGGGAAACUGUGGGUAAUACUCGAUAAACUUCCCAAUCAUUAUGGAAGGGGAAGCAAUGGGUGUGAUUCCACCUGAGGAGCGGCUUACGCAGUAUCAGCUAGUUGGUGAGGUAACGGCUCACCAAGGCUACGACGCUUAGGGGGUGUGAGAGCAUGGCCCCCACCACUGGCACUGAGACACUGGCCAGACACCUACGGGUGGCUGCAGUCGAGAAUCUUCGGCAAUGGACGCAAGUCUGACCGAGCGACGCCGCGUGUGGGAUGAAGGCCUUCGGGUUGUAAACCACUGUCAGAGGGGAUGAAGUGUACGAGAGUUAUCUCUUGUAUUUGACAGAGCCUCAGAGGAAGCGACGGGCUAAGUUACGUGCCAGCAGCCGCGGUAAU